AACGAACGCUGGCGGCAGGCCUAACACAUGCAAGUCGAGCGAGACCUUCGGGUCUAGCGGCGGACGGGUGAGUAACGCGUGGGAAUAUGCCCUUCGGUUCGGAAUAGCCCCGGGAAACUGGGAGUAAUACCGGAUACGGUCUACGGACGAAAGAUUUAUCGCCGAAGGAUUAGCCCGCGUUGGAUUAGGUAGUUGGUGGGGUAAUGGCCUACCAAGCCGACGAUCCAUAGCUGGCUUGAGAGGAUGAUCAGCCACACUGGGACUGAGACACGGCCCAGACUCCUACGGGAGGCAGCAGUGGGGAAUCUUAGACAAUGGGGGAAACCCUGAUCUAGCCAUGCCGCGUGAGCGAUGAAGGCCUUAGGGUUGUAAAGCUCUUUCAGCGGGGAAGAUAAUGACUGUACCCGCAGAAGAAGCCCCGGCUAACUCCGUG
rnacentral:rRNA from 1 species